rnacentral:rRNA from 1 species
AACGAACGCUGGCGGCAUGCCUAACACAUGCAAGUCGAACGAGAUCUUCGGGUCUAGUGGCGCACGGGUGCGUAACGCGUGGGAAUCUGCCCUUUGGUUCGGAAUAACAGUUGGAAACGACUGCUAAUACCGGAUGAUGACGAAAGUCCAAAGAUUUAUCGCCAGAGGAUGAGCCCGCGUAGGAUUAGCUAGUUGGUGUGGUAAAGGCGCACCAAGGCGACGAUCCUUAGCUGGUCUGAGAGGAUGAUCAGCCACACUGGGACUGAGACACGGCCCAGACUCCUACGGGAGGCAGCAGUGGGGGAAAUUGGACAAUGGGCGAAAGCCUGAGCCAGCAAUGCCGCGUGAGUGAUGAAGGCCUUAGGGUUGUAAAGCUCUUUUACCCGUGAAGAUAAUGACAUUACCGGGAGAAUAAGCUCCGGCUAACUCCGUGCCAGCCGCCGCCGUAA